GAUGAAGAACGCAGCAAAAUGCGAUAAGUAAUGUGAAUUGCAGAAUUCAGUGAAUCAUCGAAUCUUUGAACGCACAUUGCGCCCGCCAGUAUUCUGGCGGGCAUGCCUGUUCGAGCGUCAUUUCAACCCUCAAGCCCUCGGGUUUGGCGUUGGGGAUCGGCGAGCCUUUCUGGCAAGCCGGCCCCGAAAUCUAGUGGCGGUCUCGCUGCAGCCUCCAUUGCGUAGUAGUAAAACCCUCGCAACUGGAACGCGGCGCGGCCAAGCCGUUAAACCCCCAACUUCUGAAUGUUGACCUCGGAUCAGGUAGGAAUACCCGCUGAACUUAAGCAUAUCAAUAAGCGGAGGA
rnacentral:misc_RNA from 1 species